UGAUCACUCUGUCUAGUCUCUUCCUCUCUGCAGCUGAGAUGCUGCUGCCCCAGCAGACCACUCCAUAAAAAAUGUCUGAUGCCACCACAGUGUCAUAAAGGGUCUUCAGGAGUGGCCCCUGAUUUCUAAAAGACCUCAGUCUCCUGAGCAGCUUCCAUACCAAAACUGUGCACAGGCGUUGGCCUGCUUGUCAUAGUACCAGCGGAUGAUGUAGCUUCGGCAGGUGCCUUGGUCCAAGCUGAGGUUACAGCGGGGAUCAACAACAGGGACCUCUGAAGAAGAAAUAGCAGGACUGCUCUCACUACGGUCUGCAACUGAUUAGAGUUUAAAGAUGAAACUGAGCCCACAGAUGUUGAGACAGAUGUUGCAUUUGAAGAUGAAGACGUAGAAGAUGAUAAGACGGCCUCAUUGGAGACGGAGCUUUCUCUCACAGUCGACAAAGAUGUUGUUUUGUUUUGUUUGGCUACAAUAGCUACAGUAUUACCACCCCGGGCAUGGGCUCUUAAGUCUAAAUCUUCACCUUCAUCAUCUUCCAAAACCUGGAGUAGGAUGACAACAUAAAAAUGUGUCAGUGUUGUUAUGAAUUCUGCACCACCAGUGAAUAAAAUGGCAAUAGAAUACUUUAA